AACCACCGAGAGGACCCAGCACCCAGGUCCUGCCCAGCACUGCCCAUGUGGCCUGAGGGUCUUUGUUCUGCAGGAAAAGCGGGUGGUUAGCAGGAACUGGGCAAGGGGUACCUGUGGACCCAGAGUGACCAACGAGAUGCUUGAGGAUGAGGAUGCUGAGGACCACGGGGGUACUUUCUGCUUAGGGGAGCUGGUGGAGCUGGCUGUGACCAUGGAGAACAAAGCAGAGGGCAAACGGAUUGUAAGUGAAAAGCCUACCAGAGCAAGGAACCAAGGCAUAGAGGGGUCACCUGGAGGGCGUGUGACCCGAAGCCCCCCCACGCAGGUGGCCAUCAGCUCAGAUUCUGCACGGAAGGGUUCUUGGGAGCCCUGGAGCCGGCCGGUGGGGGAGCCCCCGGAGGCGGGCUGGGACUAUGCCCAGUGGAAGCAGGAGCGGGAGCAGAUCGACCUAGCCCGCCUCGCCCGGCACAGAGACGCACAGGGUGACUGGCGCCGCCCGUGGGACCUGGACAAGGCCAAGUCCACGCUACAGGACUGCAGCCAGCUGAGGGGAGAAGGCCCGGCCAGGGCAGGCAGCAGAAGGGGUCCCAGGAGCCACCAGAAACUACAGCCCCCACCAUUGCUCCCUGAUGGAAAAGGUCGGGGCGGGCAAGCCAGCAGACCCUCGGUGGCACCAGCCACAGGCAGCAAAGCCCGGGGCAAGGAGAGGCUGACUGGCAGGGCCCGAAGGUGGGAUAUGAAGGAAGACAAGGAGGAGCUGGAAGGUCAGGAGGGAAGCCAAAGCACCAGAGAGACUCCCAGUGAGGAGGAGCAAGCCCAGAAGCAGAGCGGGAUGGAGCAGGGCCGACUGGGGAGCGCCCCUGCAGCCAGCCCAGCCCUGGCAUCCCCAGAGGGGCCGAAGGGGGAGUCAGUGGCUUCCACAGCCAGCUCAGUCCCCUGCUCUCCACAGGAGCCUGACUUGGCUCCUCUUGACCUCUCCCUAGGAGGGGCUGGCAUCCCUGGGCCCAGGGAGAGCGGGUGUGUGCUCGGUCUGAGGCCUGGGGCCCAGGAGAGCCCUGUGUCUUGGCCAGAGGGCUCUAAGCAGCAGCCCCUGGGGUGGAGCAAUCACCAGGCUGAGCUGGAAGUACAGACUUGCCCUGAGCCACAGAGAGGAGCAGGGCUCCCAGAGCCCGGAGAAGACAGGUCUGGCAAGUCUGGGGCCCAGCAGGGCCUGGCCCCGAGAAGCCGGCCCACGAGAGGAGGCAGCCAAAGGUCGAGAGGCACAGCAGGUGUGAGGCGCAGGACAGGGCGCCCUGGCCCGGCAGGAAGAUGCUGAACACAGCUCCUGGGAGCUGGGGAGUCCCCGGGGAGAGGAAAAGGGAAUCACUCUGUUAAAGGCCCUCCGCGUGAUGGCCAUGUGGUUGCCGGUGGCUUGCGCCAUUGUCACUGAGCAGUGUGGCAAACUCUCCAGCAUGGCGACCUUGUGAGGGCAAGGAGUGGCCUCCCUGCACCUCACACGCUCAUCUCUGUGCACAUGUGUGUUUUCACGCACGGGCACAGCCCCUGGUGUAUUCCUGUACUAGUAUCUGGCAUCUGAGGCUGGUGCACCCUGACCUGGGCCUACUGCUGCCCAGGCCACAAGCCUUCUCCACUAUGAUGAGAGAACAAGGCUUGGUGGCACCCAGCACCUGGCUCUCCUGGCUCCCCGUCACCCCCCCAGGGCCUGGCCUCCCUCUCCAGCUGCAGGCUUUCACCUCUUGCCUGGGCUGGAUUCCCCCAGUCCCAGAUUCCCAGGAUGCCCAACCAGGGGAAUCCCAGUAACCAUGCGCCAGCCUCCUGCCUCUCCUGAGUGGUGGCUGAGGCCUGGAGGAGGAGAGGCCACACAGCUGGCAGGGUCUGGCCUGGGCAAAGAAGAGUAGAGCUCACGUCUUCUUGGUGAAAAGGAGGAUCUCUGGAAAGUCCUCCUCUCUGAAAUGGGUUGGGAUGGGGAGCGACAACCUCCUCUUCCCACAGCAGGAUGGGAGAGCUUACUCCCAGGCCCCCACACCCAGGUCAGACAUCACGUGCACCCUGAAUGUAGGCAAGGGCCUGGCCCUGCAGCCCAGGGUCAUUUCCUGCUCUUUCCACUUCCUCUUUCCCCACCGUCCUGCACUAGCACCAGGGCCAGGCCAAGGCAAGAAUCAGACAGCUACUCCACAGACAGAGAAACAACUUCCAGCUAAGUAUGACAUCAGGACUUGUCUUUCCUACUAAGCCUCCAUCCCCGCCCCUCCCCUGAGGCCCACGUCUGCUGAAUUAUCCGGACUCCGCACAAGCUGUGGCUUCCUCUCAGUUCAACAAACAUUUCCUGAGCACCCACUACCAGUAAUCCAGCCGGUAGGCGACGGAGACUGCCAGCAGGAGGGAGGGAAGAAAGCCAGUCAUCCGGCAGAUCUGGGCUGUUCUGGGCGGGAGCUGUUCUGGGCCACAGGUGCCCUACAGGGCUGGGGGCAGGAUGGCGGUAGGAGCCCCAGGGGACCCUCCCACCUCUGCCUGGCAGAAGCAAGUGCCCUUCUUUCUUGUUAUGUGUGCCUUCUGCUCCUGAGCCCUAGUGUGGACCUCACCGCAUGGUCCCCUCUGCCCCCUCCUUCUGGUCCUGCCAUGGCUGCUGCUCUCUGCUGAAGGCUGUGGGGCUCUAGGGAGAGUCCAGAUCACCCUGGGAUUUCUCCACUGCCCAAUGUGAAGCCUAAACUGUGGGGUCCCAGCUCAGCCUUCCUCACUGGCUCUCAACUCCACCCCACCCCUCUAUUCAGGAAGGUGAGGGGCAUCUCUUUAGCAGACCAGACUGUUUUGAGAAGUGUCUCUCAUACUUUAACUGAAGAGUCAUGCAGAUUCUAAUGGUCUGGGGAGGGCCUGAGAGUUCGUCUUUUUUUUUUUUUUUUUUUUUUAGUUAGGGUCCUGCUGUUAUCACCUAGGCUGGAGUGCAGUGGCACAAUCAUGGCUCACUGCAGCCUCGAACCCUCCAGGCUCAGGCGAUCCUCUCACAUCAACCUCUUGAGUAGCCGGGACUACAGGUGUGCCACCACACCUGGCUAAUUUUUGUAUUUUUUGUAGAGGCAGGGUUUCACCAUGUUGCCCAGGCUGGUCUCCAACUCCUGGGCUCAAGCAAUCUGCUCGCCUUGGCCUCCUAAACUGCUGGGAUUACAGGCAUGAGCCACCACACCUGGCCGAGAAUUCGUAUUUCUAAGAGGCUUCAGGUGAAGCCCAUGCUGGUUCCUGGACCAUGGUUUUGAGUAGUUAAGGGUUUGGACUAGAAUAUAUGAAGGGCUGGGGGUGAAGACAGACUCUAGACUCUAAAGGUUGGUGGCUGGCUAUGUAGGGGAUGGGGGAGUGCUACCCCUGUCAGGUGGUGGGGGCUUCCUGGCUGCAGAGUUGGGUGGGAGACUUGGGGAAGAUGCUUUGGAAGGCAGUGAGUGGGUGGUGUCAACUUCUAGUAGUGCAGUGGGAGAGCUGGUCAGGGAUGGGAUGGAGUGAAGGGGGCAGAGGCAUUUGGUGUGGGGUUGAUCAGAGGAAUUUUGGAAAGGCUUGGAAACAUUCCUAUGUAUGUGAGACACACCUAUGCCAGGGCAAAGACUCCAAGCUCAAGUUUUUCUCUUGCCUUCUAGUCACAAGAACAUGGCUUUGGAGUGUGACACUGGCCUAGGAAUCCAUGACUCCCAAAGGACGGGGCUAGGGGUAGAGGAGGUUCAGGCAAAGCCCUUAGAUUUUGGAGACAUCAGGCAGAUGUCUCCAAAAAUGAUUGUGAUCAAGAAUCUGAAUUAUAAGAUUCACAGUCUGCUCCCCAACCCAGUGCUGCCAACUGUACAGCUGCGCCUCCACGAAGGGGCAUAUGCCAGGCUCGUCUGACCCUGGAAUGAGGAUGUAGGAAGCAGGCAGAGCUCGGGUUCAGCCCUCACAAUGGGACUGAAGCAGGAGAGAAGGCUGGGCAGAAGGGCUGUGGGGAAGUAGGGCUUGUCUCCAUGGAUGACGUCCAGAAGGAUGUCAGGAGGAGGAAUAUCACAGGAGUUAUAGACAUUGGAGGGAACAGAGACUGGCACAGGACCUCUUCAUUGCAGGAAGAUGGUAGUGUAGGCAGGUAACAUUGAGCUCUUUUCAAAAAAGGAGAGCUCUUCUUCAAGAUAAGGAAGUGGUAGUUAUGGUGGUAACCCCCGGCUAUCAGUCCGGAUGGUUGCCACCCCUCCUGCUGUAGGAUGGAAGCAGCCAUGGAGUGGGAGGGAGGCGCAAUAAGACACCCCUCCACAGAGCUUGGCAUCAUGGGAAGCUGGUUCUACCUCUUCCUGGCUCCUUUGUUUAAAGGCCUGGCUGGGAGCCUUCCUUUUGGGUGUCUUUCUCUUCUCCAACCAACAGAAAAGACUGCUCUUCAAAGGUGGAGGGUCUUCAUGAAACACAGCUGCCAGGAGCCCAGGCACAGGGCUGGGGGCCUGGAAAAAGGAGGGCACACAGGAGGAGGGAGGAGCUGGUAGGGAGAUGCUGGCUUUACCUAAGGUCUCGAAACAAGGAGGGCAGAAUAGGCAGAGGCCUCUCCGUCCCAGGCCCAUUUUUGACAGAUGGCGGGACGGAAAUGCAAUAGACCAGCCUGCAAGAAAGACAUGUGUUUUGAUGACAGGCAGUGUGGCCGGGUGGAACAAGCACAGGCCUUGGAAUCCAAUGGACUGAAUCAGAACCCUAGGCCUGCCAUCUGUCAGCCGGGUGACCUGGGUCAAUUUUAGCCUCUAAAAGCCUCAGUCUCCUUAUCUGCAAAAUGAGGCUUGUGAUACCUGUUUUGAAGGGUUGCUGAGAAAAUUAAAGAUAAGGGUAUCCAAAAUAGUCUACGGCCAUACCACCCUGAACGUGCCUAAUCUCGUAAGCUAAGCAGGGUCAGGCCUGGUUAGUACCUGGAUGGGGAGAGUAUGGAAAACAUACCUGCCCGCAGUUGGAGUUGGACUCUGUCUUAACAGUAGCGUGGCACACAGAAGGCACUCAGUAAAUACUUGUUGAAUAAAUGAAGUAGCGAUUUGGUGUGA
rnacentral:lncRNA from 1 species